GAUUAAAGAAAGAUGGAAAACCAACAAAAAAGAAUAAAUCAUAUUGCAAUAAUCUUAUGUCCCCUAUUGUCUACCUCAUUCUUCUUUUUUUUUACAUUUUUUUCUA
rnacentral:ribozyme from 1 species